rnacentral:rRNA from 1 species
UACGUAGGGUGCAAGCGUUGUCCGGAAUUAUUGGGCGUAAAGAGCUCGUAGGCGGUUUGUCGCGUCUGCUGUGAAAACCCGAGGCUCAACCUCGCGCCUGCAGUGGGUACGGGCAGACUAGAGUGCGGUAGGGGAGAUUGGAAUUCCUGGUGUAGCGGUGGAAUGCGCAGAUAUCAGGAGGAACACCGAUGGCGAAGGCAGAUCUCUGGGCCGUAACUGACGCUGAGGAGCGAAAGCGUGGGGAGCGAACAGG